ACACUUGUAGCAUAAUGGUUUGUGCAGUCUGCCGGAAACAGGAAGACGCGGGUUCAAUUCCCAUCCGAUGUC
rfam:Nippostrongylus brasiliensis genome assembly, scaffold: NBR_scaffold0000458